CCCUGCGCCAAAUUCAACUUCGUACUAGCCAAAUAUAACUAGCACUUGUUUCAUUUCGUCGUGAACCGUGAUUGAGAAUCGUUCCUCAGUGGAGUCUACGGCGAUCCGCGAGAUACACAAGACACAAUGGCAGCAGAUCUGAAAGACGUUGAAAUUGAGAAGGCACAGUUUGUCUUUUCCGUUUACGAUUGGGAUGGCAGCAACAGCAUUGAUGCUAUCGAUAUCGGAAACGCUCUGCGUGCCCUCAACCUGAACCCAACUCUGGAACUCAUCGGCAAAAUGGGUGGAACCCAGAAACGCGGUGAGAAGCGAGUUAAGUUCGACGAAUUCCUCCCCAUCUACGCCCAGGUCAAGAAGGAGAAGGACAUGGGAUGCUACGAGGAUUUCCUUGAAUGUUUGAAGCUGUACGACAAGGAAGAAAACGGCACCAUGCUGUUGGCUGAAUUGCAACACAGUUUACUCGCUCUGGGUGAGAAGUUGACCGAUGAGGAGCUUGAAAAUGUCUUCAAGGAUUGCAUGGACCCCGAGGACGAUGACGGUAACAUCCCAUAUGCCCCCUUCCUCAAGAAGAUGAUGGAUAACAUGGUCGUCAUCAACCACAAGUAAACAUUUGAACGAACAUCAUUCAAUAACUAAAUUUACCAACAUGUAAUAUGUAAGAGUAUUCCAUUUCUUCAGAGAUUGUGUGACUAUACACCAAAAGCAUAUUAGAUCUGUUUUGCGACCCGAUAAUCUGGUUGCAACAUUUGUAUGAUGGUUAUAUAAAUAUGUUGAAAACAAAAACAAACCAACGUUAAGUAAGAACAUCAAUCAACGUCCAGGGAAAAUAACAAAACAACAUCGACGAAAUCAGCAAGAACAGCGUUUUACCAAACAUCAGCACGUUAAACAAAACUGAUAAUUUAUUAUGCCAUCUAGUAUGGGAGCGGUUAUUAAUAAUUUCUUUUUUUAAGUUUUUAAUAAAAAUAUAUGUAUAAAGAGAUUAUAUAAUCCCUGGCAGUA